rnacentral:lncRNA from 1 species
AGAGAGCAUUGUUGUUACUAUGUUUGCAGGUAGAGGAUUCCUGCUGUAGAGCAAUUUUUGUAGAAGAAUCCUCUUCAAAGCCCCCCUUCUCUCUGUGCGAGGAAUGAAGGAAGACAAGAGAGCAUUGUUGUUACUAUGUCGCUAUCUAGUUCCGUGAUUGUUCGUGUACAAUGAUUUAUCCAUACAAUGUCGUAGUUAUGGCACUAGUUGUUGUAACUGUAGAAUUGCAUCGGUACAUCUAUGCUACAUAUAUGAAGUAGCUGUACUGUUUCUGAUGAAGUCUCAAAUCCGUUGUCAUGUUGUCUUUCUAUGGCAAAGAGCACCUGAAAUGAAUGUAAUCGGCAUACAGUCUUCUUGAAAUGGCGCUUGACAUCAAGGGGCAGUGGCUGUAGAACCGCUGGCCUCGCAGCUUGCAAGCUGAGACAUCUGUUCGAAUCCUCUUG